UUUAGGGUUUUUCUAAGGUGUUUUUCUGCCUUAUGCAUGAGUUUCCUGAAUUUUCAAUCUGUCUCCAGGUCUCCCUUUCAAACACAGCAAGAAACAAACCUGUUUGAGUUGGCUAAUAAUAAGAAGAAUGGACCCCCUCAAAGGAAUCACAAUGGGAUAUGCAUCCUUAUAUCUAUGCAUUGGGUGUUCAUAUCUGCUCAGGUCAGAGGCUGGGAAAUUGAAGAACAUAGCAGCCAAGCAGAGAAAAAUCAUUAACAUGACCAGUGCACUGAAAACUGACCCCACUGUGCUGAGAAGAAAACCUUGACUUUCCUGGUGACUUCAGAAAGAAGAAUUUCACCCUUGGCAUACUGAUCCUCAAGGACAGCCAUUUCACUUUUCCCUGCCAGAGAGGCUACCCUGGCCUGAUCUGCCAGGAGCAGGAUUGCCCUUUGGGAAGAGGAAAGUAUUCAGACUGUGAAACAGCAAAGGGAGUUGGCUCAUGUUGCUGCUGCGGAGGAUGCAAUGGCAGGAGGUUGGUUCAUAAACUGGAACUUCAUGGUGGGAUCACAACGUCGAUGGUGGCUGCAGGUCUGGUUAAACAGAUAUCAAGGAAGAUGUGAAAUAAGAAGGGGGAAAUGAGUAAAUAAUGAAAUAAAAUUCAGAGGAAAAAUAUUGUUAGUCUGUUU